rnacentral:rRNA from 1 species
GAUGAACGCUGGCGGCGUGCCUAACACAUGCAAGUCGAGCGGACGGACGAGAAGCUUGCUGUUCUGAUGUUAGCGGAGGACGGGAGAGUAACACGUGGAUAACCCACCUAUAAGACUGGGAUAACUUCGGGAAACCGGAGCUAAUCCGGGAUAAUCUCUUGAACCGCAUGGUUCAAGAGUGAAAGACGGUCUUGCUGUCACUUAUAGAUGGAUCCGCGCUGCUUUAGCUAGUUGGUAAGCUAACGGCUUACCAAGGCAACGAUGCAUAGCCGACGUGUGAGGGUGUUCGGCCACACUGGAACUGUGACACGGUCCAGGCUCCUACGGGAGGCAGCGGUAGGGACUCUUCGGCACUGGGGGGAAGCCUGAAGGAGCAGCGCCGCGUGAGUGAUGAAGGUCUUCGGAUCGUAAAACUCUGUUAUUAGGGAAGACCAUAUGUGUAAGUAACUGUGCACAUCUUGACGGUACCUAAUCAGAAAGCAACGGCUAACUACGUG